rnacentral:rRNA from 1 species
UACAGAGGUCUCAAGCGUUGUUCGGAAUCACUGGGCGUAAAGGGUGCGCAGGCGGCGCGGAAAGUCAGAUGUGAAAUCCGGAGGCUCAACCUCCGAAUUGCAUCCGAUACUCCCGCGCUAGAGAUUUGUAGAGGAGCUUGGAAUUCUCGGUGUAGCAGUGAAAUGCGUAGAUAUCGAGAAGAACGCUCGCAGCGAAAGCGAAGCUCUGGGCAACAUCUGACGCUCAUGCACGAAGGCCAGGGGAGCAAACGGG